rnacentral:rRNA from 1 species
AUUAAUUUAUAAUAAAAGAGAAUUGACUGAGCGGUUUAAAGUGGUAAGCUUGAAACUUAUUUGAUCUAUCAGAUCACAUCCGUUCGAAUCGGAUAUUCUCUGAAUAAAUAAACAGGUUAGAGCCAGGUGGUUAGGCGUCUCAAUUGGGAUGAGGAAUUGUUAUGUUCGAAUCAUAAUAACCUGAUGAAAAUAUAACUAAUUACAUAUGUAAGAUAUUAUUUUUGAUAAAAACUAGUAUCAAACUAAGUAUAUAAAGAGACUAUUACGGAUAUCUGGCUAUAUAUUAAAGAUAAAUAUGUUAAAUUAAUAUCUAAUAUAAAUCUAAUAAUAAACAAAGUGAAUUGAAAUAUCUUAAUAACUUUAGGAAAAAAAAUCAAACGAGAUUUUAUUAUUAGUGUAAACUAAUAUAAAAAAGCUUACAAGUAAAAUGGAAAAUAUCUGUUUGAAUACAGGGGAACCUUCCUCUAAAGCUAAAUAUAAUAUAUAAGCGAUAGCGUAUAGUACCGUGAGGUAUAGAUAGAAAUAGUAGUUUUAUAAGCAGCUCAAAAAAAAAUUUAAAUAAAUAAUACGAGCGGACCUUUUGCAUAAUGGGUCAGCAAGUUAAAUUUAGAUGCAAGCAAAUAAAAAUUAUUUGCCUAGAUAAACCAAUUAUGAAAAAAUGAUAAGUAUCUAAAUUUAGACCCGAAGGCUAGUGAUCUUACCAUGAUCAGGCUUAAGGCCGAACGGGUUAUCGUUGUAGAGAUAUCCGAUGAAUUGUGGUAAGUUGGUGAAAGACAAAACUGACUAGUAUAGCUGGUUUUCCGCGAAACCUAUGUGAGUAGGUAAUUUAAUUAACAUCUUAGCAGGUACAGAACUAGGAUCUCGGACAAUAUGUAAAUUUUGUGCACAUCGGGGGAUCGUGAUGAUUUUAUCGGAGAGUAUUUGCACUCGAAAGGGCAAAGAUGAAUAUUGAAUAAUCGGACAUAGUACGAUAAGGUUGUAUGUCUAAAGGGAAACAGCCCUGAACAAGAGUUAUAAGGUUCCAAAAUUAUUAUUAAGUGAAAUUAAGGAUGUACUUAUCAAAUACAACCAGGAAAUAGGCUUAGAAGCGGCCAUUUUUUGAAGACCUCGUAACAGAGCACUGGUUAAUAAAAUUUUUUUAGAUAGAUAUGUAUACCGAAAAUUUAACGGAUCUAAAUAAUAUACCGAAACCUUGUUCGUAUAUAUUAAUAUAGAAUAUUAUUUAUUAGUUUAAAUAUAUAUAUAUAUAUAUNNAAAUUAUAUAAUAAUCCAAGAGAGAAUGCUGGCAUGAGUAACGAAAAAGGAUUAUACAUCCUCGCCUUAAGCUUAUGGUAUUUUAUUUAAAUUUCGGUGUCUAAGUAGGAAGAUAAAAGAAUAAAACUGAAAGUUAAAAAAAACUUCUCCUAAUGGAUUUUUACGAUGAUAUAUUGAUUAGAUAAAAAAACCUUUAUAAAGUGUUAAAGGUUCUGGAAAUUAAAUCUAAUGAAAAACAUAAUAGACCGUACCUAAAUACUAACACAAGUAAGCAAGUAGAGUAUACAAAGGCGUUUGAGCGAACAAUCCUUAAGGAACUCGGCAAAUUGACUCCGUAACUUCGGGAUAAGGAGGGCCGUUAUUAUAGAAAAAUUUUUUUUUCUGUUAAAUAAGAGGAAACAUNNNNNNNNNNNNNNNNNNNNNNNNNNNNNNNNNNNNNNNNNNNNAAUGCGGUCUUGCAUGAAUGACUUAACGAUACAACAGCUGUCUCGAGGAUUGGCUCAGUGAAAUUGGAAUAGCAGUGCAGAUACUGCUUAACUCUAGGUAGACGAGAAGACCCUAUGCAGCUUUACUGUUACCUUUUAUGAAUAUAGUAAGUCAAUUGUGAGUGUAUAAGGUAAUUGUUAUAUGAAAUUGAAACACCUUUAUUUAAACUAUUAUAUUCUUUAUGACUGGAAGACAGUUUAUGCGGGGCACAGAUCCCAUAAAAAGUACCUGGGUAUAUCCAAAGUUAAUAAUGUAAGUUUGUAAAUUUUAAUUUACAGUAAUAAUAUAUUUAUAUUUAUAAAUUAUUAUUAUUUAGUUUGUUAUUAAUUAUAUUUUAUAUUUAUUCAGUUAUUAUAGUAUUAAAUUCGAAUUUUAUAGAAUUUAAGUAAGAUUUUAACUAUAUGGUAAAUAGAUGUAUAUUAAAUAUUAAUAAAUUAAGUUCUAUUAGUAUUUUAUUCAUAUUAAUAUUGUAUAUAUAAAUCCUUAUUAAUAUGAUAAUUAUUUAUACUUUAAAAGUUUAAUGGCUAAAUCUUGCUUUACUGUUUGACUUACAAGUCUAUCAGUCGCGUAAGCGGGGCAUAUGAUCACAAGAUGCAAAAAGGAAAGGUCUUGGAUUAAAGAAAAAGUUACGCUAGGGAUUUUUGUUAGUCCCCCUGUAUUUUAAAAUACAGGUAAUAAUUUGGGUAAAUUUCAAAAAUAACUUAUAUUUAAGUGUAUUUGAAGCGAAACUUAUUUUAGCAUAUUUAUAUUUAUAUAAAUUAAAUAAGAACGUUCAACGACUAAAAGGUGAAUAGUGCUAUUAAUAAUCCUUU